UACGUAGGAGGCGAGCGUUGUCCGGAGUUACUGGGCGUAAAGCGUGCGCAGGCGGUUCGUUGUGUCGGCGGUGAAAGCCCCGGGCUCAACCUGGGAAUGGCCGUUGAAACUGGCGAACUGGAGUGUGGCAGAGGGGGGUGGAAUUCCGCGUGUAGCAGUGAAAUGCGUAGAGAUGCGGAGGAACACCGAUGGCGAAGGCAGCCCCCUGGGCUGACACUGACGCUCAGGCACGAAAGCGUGGGGAGCAAACAGG
rnacentral:rRNA from 1 species